GACGAACGCUGGCGGCGUGCCUAACACAUGCAAGUCGAGCGGGGUUGAAGCGAGGGGUAACUCGAGUUUCUACCUAGCGGCGGACGGGUGAGUAACGCGUGGGCAACCUGCCUCAAGGACUGGGAUAACAGCUCGAAAGGGCUGCUAAUACCGGAUAUGCCUGUGGCCUCGCAUGGGGCUAUGAGCAAAGGGGAAACCCGCCUUGAGAUGGGCCCGCGUCCCAUCAGCUAGUUGGUGAGGUGAAGGCUCACCAAGGCGACGACGGGUAGCCGGCCUGAGAGGGUGACCGGCCACACUGGGACUGAGACACGGCCCAGACUCCUACGGGGGGCAGCAGUGGGGAAUCUUGCACAAUGGGCGAAAGCCUGAUGCAGCGACGCCGCGUGAGCGAAGAAGGCCUUCGGUGUAAGCUCUGUCUGGAGGGACGAAGGAAGUGACGGUACCUCCGGAGGAAGCCACGGCUAACUACGUGCCAGCAGCCGCGGUAAUAGUCACGUCGC
rnacentral:rRNA from 1 species